AUCAGAUCAGGAGAAGAAGGCGGAGAAAACGCACAUCUUCAGAUCUGACAAGACCAUCACCUUGCACCAAAUCCUGUGUCCCAGUCUUUUCUUGCGCCUGCCAGACAUCCCUGCCCUUCAAGACCCUGAAAACCGCUGAGGCUGGUCCCAGGCACGUUUUGGACAUGAACUAUCUUCUGCUCACCCCCAAGGAAGACAGAUAAGAAUCCAACAGGCCUUGCCUGCUGAUUAGAAGCAACAGGAAUGGAACCAAGUCAGGACAGUUGAUGACAGCUUUCUCAAGGCCUCCCACCCCACUCUCCCUGACUCCCACCUACUCAGAAGUCUCUCUCUCCUAAAGGACCCUUCUGUACAGCUUAGAGAUGGAAGUCCUGUACAAUGGGGAGAUAAAAGGCAGCUCAAGGUGUUCCCUCUAGGAAUAAAGACAGCUGAAAAGGAAUGAAAGAAAACCUUAUCCUUUUCAUUGCAGCAUUUAUUUCUGUUCUUACAAAUCAUUGUGUCUAAAAGGUCAUUCUUUGAGGCUGAUGGCUUUCUGAAGAAUGUGCUUCCUUCCUGGUCUUUACUUAUGGAGUCUGAGUAUCACAAGAUGAAGCGGCUGAUAUGGCAGACACUCAUAAAAUCUUAAAUUGUGACCACGUGAAUAGGCAGCUGGGCUGUGAAACUUCUCUGUGUGUAAUGAAGAGGAAUUGUGUUGGCAGUAGCUCUCAACCUUGGCUACAGAUGGAGUCACCUGGAACUUUUAAGUCUGGCUACCUAGCCUUUAUCCAGCCCAAUUAAACUAGCAUCCUGA